rnacentral:tRNA from 1 species
GGGUCCGUAGCUCAGUCGGUAGAGCGCAAGCCUGAAGAGCUUGGCGUCGUUGGUCCAACUCCAACCGGACCCACCA